rnacentral:misc_RNA from 1 species
CUUUUGAGCUGUCAAGAGAUCCCUGUUCUUGUACGAUAGUAUGGAGAGUUCGGUGGACAUCCCUAGCCAUGCCCUUUGCAUCACCACAUACGUAUAAGUAAGCACCUUUUGAUAUCAAAUUCCAGAUGUCUGAAGCCUUCUCGGCCAUUUUAUGUUGCACAUAUUCCUUUGUUGGACCUUCACGUGAGAAGGCGAUAACCAACUCGGAGAGAGCACCAGUCUCAACGUAGUUGUUCAGCUCAUCCUCGUAUAUAUAAUCCAUCCCACGGUUUCUGCAUCCAAAGAACAAUAUGGAAGGCCCCAAUUCUACUCCAGAUUCUUUUAAAGCUAAUCUUUCCUGUAAGAAACCUCUGAAAGGAG